UAACUGAAGAGUUUGAUCAUGGCUCAGAUUGAACGCUGGCGGCAGGCUUAACACAUGCAAGUCGAGCGGGGGAAGGUAGCUUGCUACUGGACCUAGCGGCGGACGGGUGAGUAAUGCUUAGGAAUCUGCCUAUUAGUGGGGGACAACAUCUCGAAAGGGAUGCUAAUACCGCAUACGUCCUACGGGAGAAAGCAGGGGAUCUUCGGACCUUGCGCUAAUAGAUGAGCCUAAGUCGGAUUAGCUAGUUGGUGGGGUAAAGGCCUACCAAGGCGACGAUCUGUAGCGGGUCUGAGAGGAUGAUCCGCCACACUGGGACUGAGACACGGCCCAGACUCCUACGGGAGGCAGCAGUGGGGAAUAUUGGACAAUGG
rnacentral:rRNA from 1 species